CCCGAACCUCCAGCCUACGGACAGGGAAAGGAAAAACGGGAAGGUCUUGUUUUGGGACAGAGCGGGUCCUUUAAGAAGGUUUGGGCUCUCCCUUGGUCCAUUCUUAGUACGCUUUUUGUCUUUGUGGUGGGUUUUUUGUUUGUUUUGUUUUGUUUUGUUUGUACUGGGAAUGAGUGCCAAGAGCAACAGGCCAUAGGUUCGGAAAAACACCUCAGCCACAUGUGCAGGCGGAGAUUGGGUUGAAGAGUUGUUGGCUCGCACUGUCAGGUCGCCGUAGGAGACCAAGGAGGGGGGGGGGCACCAAUAAACUCUUAUCAUGUGUCUGCAGUGUGUUUGGAACCUGGACUAGUACCCCUAUCUGGCAGUCCAAGUUUGGGGUAUCUGCAAGCACUCACCAAAGUCAGGGCCUCUCCGCCUCAGCUCCUCCAGGCUCUGCAGGUGGAUGAUGUCACCCUUGUGGAAGGACAGCAGCUCGGGGUCUUCAGACAGGAAGUUCCUCACUGCCACAACAUAAUCAGAAUCCUGGAAAACACCAGGAAUAGAGUGCUAUGUACUGACUGCCUUCGUCCCAGUUCCAGAAUGAAGGUGUCUACUAGGGUCUUGACCUGCUGCGCCCGGGCUGAGAAGAGGAUGAGCUUCUCGUUGGACAGAUUGAACUC